rnacentral:rRNA from 1 species
UACGUAGGGGGCGAGCGUUGUCCGGAUUCAUUGGGCGUAAAGAGCGCGUAGGCGGCCAUCCAAGUCGAUCGUGAAAGCUCGGGGCUCAACCCCGAGAUUGCGGUCGAUACUGUGUGGCUAGAGGCUGGUAGGGGGGUGUGGAAUUCCCGGUGUAGCGGUGGAAUGCGCAGAUAUCGGGAGGAACACCGGUGGCGAAGGCGGAUCUCUGGGCCUUACCUGACGCUGAGGCGCGAAAGCUAGGGGAGCGAACAGG